AAGGUGGCCUGUGAGGGUUGCUGGAGGUAUCAGAAGUGCGAAUGCUGACAUAAGUAACGAUAAAGCGGGUGAAAAGCCCGCUCGCCGGAAGACCAAGGGUUCCUGUCCAACGUUAAUCGGGGCAGGGUGAGUCGACCCCUAAGGCGAGGCCGAAAGGCGUAGUCGAUGGGAAACGGGUUAAUAUUCCCGUACUUGGUGUUACUGCGAAGGGGGGACGGAGAAGGCUAUGUUGGCCGGGCGACGGUUGUCCCGGUUUAAGCGUGUAGGCUGGUUUUCCAGGCAAAUCCGGAAAAUCAAGGCUGAGGCGUGACGACGAGGCACUACGGUGCUGAAGCAACAAAUGCCCUGCUUCCAGGAAAAGCCUCUAAGCAUCAGGUAACAUCAAAUCGUACCCCAAACCGACACAGGUGGUCAGGUAGAGAAUACCAAGGCGCUUGAGAGAACUCGGGUGAAGGAACUAGGCAAAAUGGUGCCGUAACUUCGGGAGAAGGCACGCUGACACGUAGGUGAAGUGAUUUACUCAUGGAGCUGAAGUCAGUCGAAGAUACCAGCUGGCUGCAACUGUUUAUUAAAAACACAGCACUGUGCAAACACGAAAGUGGACGUAUACGGUGUGACGCCUGCCCGGUGCCGGAAGGUUAAUUGAUGGGGUCAGCGCAAGCGAAGCUCCUGAUCGAAGCCCCGGUAAACGGCGGCCGUAACUAUAACGGUCCUAAGGUAGCGAAAUUCCUUGUCGGGUAAGUUCCGACCUGCACGAAUGGCGUAAUGAUGGCCAGGCUGUCUCCACCCGAGACUCAGUGAAAUUGAACUCGCUGUGAAGAUGCAGUGUACCCGCGGCAAGACGGAAAGACCCCGUGAACCUUUACUAUAGCUUGACACUGAACAUUGAGCCUUGAUGUGUAGGAUAGGUGGGAGGCUUUGAAGCGUGGACGCCAGUCUGCGUGGAGCCGACCUUGAAAUACCACCCUUUAAUGUUUGAUGUUCUAACGUGGACCCGUAAUCCGGGUUGCGGACAGUGUCUGGUGGGUAGUUUGACUGGGGCGGUCUCCUCCUAAAGAGUAACGGAGGAGCACGAAGGUUGGCUAAUCCUGGUCGGACAUCAGGAGGUUAGUGCAAUGGCAUAAGCCAGCUUGACUGCGAGCGUGACGGCGCGAGCAGGUGCGAAAGCAGGUCAUAGUGAUCCGGUGGUUCUGAAUGGAAGGGCCAUCGCUCAACGGAUAAAAGGUACUCCGGGGAUAACAGGCUGAUACCGCCCAAGAGUUCAUAUCGACGGCGGUGUUUGGCACCUCGAUGUCGGCUCAUCACAUCCUGGGGCUGAAGUAGGUCCCAAGGGUAUGGCUGUUCGCCAUUUAAAGUGGUACGCGAGCUGGGUUUAGAACGUCGUGAGACAGUUCGGUCCCUAUCUGCCGUGGGCGCUGGAGAACUGAGGGGGGCUGCUCCUAGUACGAGAGGACCGGAGUGGACGCAUCACUGGUGUUCGGGUUGUCAUGCCAAUGGCACUGCCCGGUAGCUAAAUGCGGAAGAGAUAAGUGCUGAAAGCAUCUAAGCACGAAACUUGCCCCGAGAUGAGUUCUCCCUGAGACUU
rnacentral:rRNA from 1 species